UACGUAGGGGGCAAGCGUUGUCCGGAAUCAUUGGGCGUAAAGCGCGUGUAGGCGGCUGGGCAAGUCCGCUCUGAAAGCCCGAGGCUCAACCUCGGGAGGCGAGUGGAUACUGCUCAGCUCGAGUCCGGAAGAGGAGUGUGGAAUUCCUGGUGUAGCGGUGAAAUGCGCAGAUAUCAGGAGGAACACCAAUGGCGAAGGCAGCUCGCUGGGACGUGACUGACGCUGAGACGCGAAAGCGUGGGGAGCGAACAGG
rnacentral:rRNA from 1 species